AUUGAACGCUGGCGGCAGGCCUAACACAUGCAAGUCGAGCGAGCGGCGGAAGGGUGAGUAAUGUAUGGGGACUGCCCGAAAGAGGGGGAUAACUACUGGAAACGGUAGCUAAUACCGCAUACUAUCGGAUAACCCAUAUGGGAUUAGCUAGUAGGUGAGGUAAUGGCUCACCUAGUCGACGAUCCCUAUCUGGUCUGGGAGGAUGAUCAGCCAAACUGGGACGGAGACACGGCCCAGGCGCCUACGGAGGUAGCAGUGGGGAAUAUUGCACAACGGGCCCAAGCCUGAUUCAGCCAUGCCGCGUGUAAGAAGAAGGCCCUAGGGUUGUAAAGGACUUUCAGUCGGGAGGCGUUACCGACAGAAGAAGCACCGGCUAACUCUGUGCUAGCGGCCGCGGUAAUAC
rnacentral:rRNA from 1 species